AAGGCCUCAGUACAGCCUCGGUCUGGCUUGGAAACUGCUCCGGCAUUUUGAGUCUCUGUGUUUGUGUAUUCUUCUUUGGAUAUUAUUGGUGCAAUUGUUGGACAAAAUGACUUGCAGUGGUAUUAAUUGCACUAAUAGAGCGUCCAAGGAGUCUCCACUUCAUUUUUUUCGGGAAGGACCUGAUUGGUGUCCAGAACCUGUUGAAGAAGCACCAGGCUCUGCAGGCUGAGAUCACAGGUCAUGAACCUCGCAUCAAGGCUGUCACCCAGAAAGGAGAGACCAUGGUGGAGGAAGGUCACUUCGCUGGUGAGGAGGUGAAGACUAAGCUGUCAGAGCUUCAUGGACGUUGGGACACGCUAAAGGCCAAGGCGUCCCAGAGGAGGCAGGACCUGGAGGACUCUCUGCAGGCCCAGCAGUACUUUGCGGAUGCUAAUGAGGCCGAGUCCUGGAUGAGGGAGAAGGAGCCCAUCGUUGGAAGUCCAGACUAAGGGAAAGACGAGGACUUGGCCGAGGCUCUCCUGAAGAAGCACGAGGCCCUGAUGUCGGACCUGUCGGCUUAUGGCAGCAGCAUCCAGGCCCUGAAGGAGCAGGCCCAGUCCUGCAGGCAACAAGAUAAUCAGCAGGUGCUUUUGUCCUGCAGGACCUGAAGGCCAACGAGUCCCGCCUGAGGGACAUCAACAAGGUGGCAUCUGAACUGGAGUCAGAAGGUCUGAUGGCUGAGGAGGCUCCUAUGGUUCAGGCUCAGCAACAAGAACAUCUGGGUUCUGCUCCUGGAAAGGACGAAGCCGACUCUUAACACGGCGUCACCCUGGAAGACCGUACGGUUGGGCGUUCAGACGACGGCUAACUUUAAUUCCAUCAAGGUAAGAGGAAGCUCUUCCCUUCCUGUCUGAGCGAUCCGUCUCCAGGUUUCCUCGUCCGGCGUCCAGCCCGCUGGCGUCCACCUUCAUCUCACCUUCAUCUCAUCUCACUUCAUUUAUAGUGCAAUACUUUCACAUUAUCAUUUUCCCACACUUCUGUAUACCUGUAUUUUGUUGUUUUUCAAUAAAGAAUGACAAAUUA